GGGGGAAUAUUGCACAAUGGGGGAAACCCUGAUGCAGCGACGCCGCGUGGAGGAAGAAGGCCUUCGGGUUGUAAACUCCUGUCGUAAGGGACGAUAAUGACGGUACCAUACAAGAAAGCCACGGCUAACUACGUGCCAGCAGCCGCGGUAAAACGUAGGUGGCAAGCGUUGUCCGGAAUUACUGGGUGUAAAGGGAGCGCAGGCGGGUCUGCAAGUUGGAAGUGAAACUCAUGGGCUCAACCCAUGAACUGCUUUCAAAACUGCGGAUCUUGAGUGGUGUAGAGGUAGGCGGAAUUCCCGGUGUAGCGGUGGAAUGCGUAGAUAUCGGGAGGAACACCAGUGGCGAAGGCGGCCUACUGGGCACUAACUGACGCCGAGGCUCGAAAGCAUGGGUAGCAAACAGGAUUAGAUACCCUGGUAGU
rnacentral:rRNA from 1 species